rnacentral:lncRNA from 1 species
UAGCAUUUAGGGCUGGAUACCAGAAGUUCCACCACUGCUGUUCCAAAGAACUGGAUGCCUUUGCAACUGCCCUGGUCAUAAGAUCAUUUGCCCCACCUGGCUGCCUCCUUCUUCUGAAUCUAGGUUUCACCCAGGUGUGUCUGAUUCAUGGCACCUGGGUCAUAUGUCUGAUCCUGAGCCACAAAGAGGUCUGGGGAUGAGAAUUUUCUGGCUUCUACCUGGAGAAUGUUGGACUCAGAAUGGAGAAAGGAAGGGCAUUGAAUGGCCACAACUAUGUGCUAUUUCUUUUUACUAGCUGUGUGAUCAUGGGUAGCCAACCCAGUCUAAUGGAAAAUUUGGAAGGAUGUUCAUCAUCUUGCCGCGUCUCUGUUUGUGUUCUAUUUCAGCCUAACAUGAAGGGAGCAUCAUCUUCGUUUUCACCAGCUCAGAGGGC